AGUUGUUCUGAGUGCAGUGGUGUUUACAACUAAUUGAUCACAACCAGGUACAGAUUCCUUUGUUCCUUCUCCAUUCCCACUGCUUCACUUGACCAGGAAAAA
ensembl:misc_RNA Y_RNA Y RNA